rnacentral:rRNA from 1 species
GAUGAACGCUAGCUACAGGCUUAACACAUGCAAGUCGAGGGGUAACGAGAGGAAAGCUUGCUUUCCUUGUCGACGACCGGCGCACGGGUGAGUAACGCGUAUCCAACCUGCCCCCAACUAAGGAAUAACCUUGCGAAAGUAAGACUAAUACCUUAUAAUUUCCUCAGAUGUCAUCUGACGAGGAAUAAAGAUUUAUCGGUUGUGGAUGGGGAUGCGUCUGAUUAGCUUGUUGGCGGGGUAACGGCCCACCAAGGCAACGAUCAGUAGGGGUUCUGAGAGGAAGGUCCCCCACAUUGGGACUGAGACACGGUCCAAACUCCUACGGGAGGCAGCAGUGAGGAAUAUUGGUCAAUGGGCGAAAGCCUGAACCAGCCAAGUAGCGUGCAGGAUGACGGCCCUAUGGGUUGUAAACUGCUUUUAUACAGGAAUAAAGUUAGCCACGUGUGGUUAUUUGUAGGUACUGUAUGAAUAAGGACCGGCUAAUUCCGUGCCAGCAGCCGCAGAAA